rnacentral:rRNA from 1 species
AUUGAACGCUGGCGGCAGGCCUAACACAUGCAAGUCGAACGAGUGGCGGACGGGUGAGUAAUGUCUGAGAAACUGCCUGAUGGAGGGGGAUAACUACUGGAAAAGGUAGCUAAUACCGCAUACCCUCAGAUGUGCCCAGAUGGGAUUAGCUAGUAGGUGGGGUAACGGCUCACCUAGGCGACGAUCCCUAGCUGGUCUGAGAGGAUGACCAGCAACACUGGAACUGAGACACGGUCCAGACUCCUACGGGAGGCAGCAGUGGGGAAUAUUGCACAAUGGGCGCAAGCCUGAUGCAGCCAUGCCGCGUGUAUGAAGAAGGCCUUCGGGUCGUAAAGUACUUUCAGCGGGGAGGCGUUACCCGCCGAAGAAGCACCGGCUAACUCCGUGCCAGCAGCCGCGGUAAUUC